rnacentral:rRNA from 1 species
CCUACGGGGGGCAGCAGUGGGGAAUAUUGCACAAUGGGGGAAACCCUGAUGCAGCGACGCCGCGUGAGUGAAGAAGUAAUUCGUUACGUAAAGCUCUAUCAGCAGGGAAGAAACACUGACCUUACGGUCAGCAGACGGUACCUGAGUAAGAAGCCCCGGCUAACUACGUGCCAGCAGCCGCGGUAAUACGUAGGGGGCAAGCGUUAUCCGGAUUUACUGGGUGUAAAGGGAGCGUAGACGGUGCGCCAAGUCUGGAGUGAAAUGCCGCAGCUUAACUGCGGAACUGCUUUGGAAACUGGCGAACU